ensembl:snoRNA
CCUCCUGUUCUUACCACAGCUGCCUUGUGUGUGGUGUGUGUGUGUGUAAUACGGAGAGAUAGUGACCUCCGUGCCAUGUCUUUGGUGGCAGAGGCUGCUGUCUGCUGCUUCUAUCCUCACUCACUGAGACACCA